UCUACAUGGGAUACUAGUGAAGGGAGCAGUCCUGCAUCCCGUCCUGUCUGGUGCUCCUGAGAGACCCUGCUGAGCAGGAAGAGAGAGAGAGGCCUCAUUGGGGAGCCAAGAUGUAGACAGUCGGUGCCCUUGCUGCCCUCCUCCCUUGUGAGACACAGCUGGGGAGUCAUCCUUCAGAAAUCCACAGGCGCGUGCUGAAUAAUGGAUCACAGGGCUGUUUAUUGCAGCGCUGCAUGCAGUGGUAGAAAACUGGAAACAGUCUAAAUGCCUGUCGGUCAGAACUGGCUAAAUAAUUUACCGUCUCUGCGUGUAAUAGCGCUCAGAAGCGAUGGCCACCGUCUAUUGCUGUCUCAAACAAAUGCACUUAAGUUCAGGAUUUUGUGUCAACGCUUGUUUAAUAAAAGGUUUGGGGGAAGUGGAAAAAGGGGAAGAAUGUGUAUUUACGUACAACCUUGCUUAGAAGAAUUCACAAACUGACUACUUGAAUAUAUAAUUUCGUGUGUGUGUGUGUGUGUGUGUGUGUGUGUGUGUAUGUGUGUGUGUGUAUGUGAGGGAGGGAGAGGGAGAGGGGAGAACCAAGAUUAAGGUAUAGAAAUGACUCCAUUUCUUUUUUUUUU